UUUGGUCAUGUACUAGUU
rnacentral:misc_RNA from 1 species